rnacentral:rRNA from 1 species
UACAGAGGGUGCAAGCGUUAAUCGGAUUUACUGGGCGUAAAGCGUGCGUAGGCGGUUCAGUAUGUCGGUCGUGAAAUCCCCGGGCUCAACCUGGGAACUGCGGCCGAAACUGCUGGGCUAGAGUGUGGUAGAGGGCGGUGGAAUUCCGGGUGUAGCGGUGAAAUGCGUAGAUAUCCGGAGGAACAUCAAUGGCGAAGGCAGCCGCCUGGGCCACAACUGACGCUGAGGUACGAAAGCGUGGGGAGCAAACAGG